rnacentral:rRNA from 1 species
UCCUAGCCGUAAACGAUGCGGACUGAGUAUUGCAGGAGCCUCGAGUUCCUGCAGUGCUGAAGGGAAACCGUUAAGUCCGCCGUCUGGGGAGUACGGUCGCAAGGCUGAAACUUAAAGGAAUUGGCGGGGGAGCACCACAAGGGGUGGAUGCUGCGGUUCAAUUGGAUACAACGCCGGGCAACUCACCAGGGGCGACGGCAGGAUGAAGGCCAGGCUGAAGGUCUUGCUGGACG